rnacentral:rRNA from 1 species
GACGUAGGGCGCGAGCGUUGUCCGGAUUUAUUGGGCGUAAAGAGCUUGUAGGCGGUUUGUCGCGUCUGCUGUGAAAUUUCGGGGCUCAACCCCGAACUUGCAGUGGGUACGGGCAGACUAGAGUGUGGUAGGGGAGACUGGAAUUCCUGGUGUAGCGGUGAAAUGCGCAGAUAUCAGGAGGAACACCGGUGGCGAAGGCGGGUCUCUGGGCCGUAACUGACGCUGAGGAGCGAAAGCGUGGGGAGCGAACAGG